rnacentral:rRNA from 1 species
GGUUUUUAGAUUUUAUUAAAAAUCAAGCCUGCUCAAUGCUAAGUAAAUAGCCGCAGAAUUUUAACUGUGCAAAGGUAGCAUAAUCACUUGUCUUUUAAUUGAGGACUAGAAUGAAAGGUUUAACUAUGUAAUUUUGUCUUAUAGUAAUAUUUUGAACUUAAUUUUUUAGUAAAAAAGCUAAAAUUCAUCUUAAAGACGAGAAGACCCUAUUAAGCUUUACAAUUUAAUAUUAUUUUCAAAUUAAUUAAAAAAUUGUUCUGCUGGGGCAGCAAAUAAAAAAUAUUGUUUACAUAUUGUGAUAAAUAAAUCUAGAAAAAUCAAUAAUUUAUUAAAAAAUAAUAAGUUACUAUAGGGAUAACAGCAUAAUUUUUUUAAAGAGUUCUCAUCAACAAAAAAGUUUGUGACCUCGAUGUUGGAUUAAGAAUCCUAUUUUACGCAGUAGUAAAAAAAGGAAGUCUGUUCGACUUUUAAAUUCUUCCA